GCCGAGGUGGCGAAACUGGUAGACGCGCCAGCCUUAGGAGCUGGUGGGGCAACCCAUGGGAGUUCGAGUCUCCCCUUCGGCA
rnacentral:tRNA from 1 species